rnacentral:lncRNA from 1 species
CUGGGCUUUCCAUGUUACAGCUGAGGAAACUGAAGCUACAGGAUGUCACAACUUGCUUGAGGUCACACAGUGACUAUCUGACCGAAUUGGCACUCAAGUUUGUUUUCCCUCACUGCAGUCUAGUAAACUUUUCAUUCAUUUAUUCACUCAACAAAUAUUUAUUGAGAUCCUACUAUGUGCAACAGGUCCUGCAGAGACAGGCGUGGGCAGGGCCAGCACCACCUCGACUUCACGAAGCCUCCAGUACCAGGCGGAAGACACACAAGUGACUAAUUGAUUAUAAUUAAGUGUGGCGGGUGUUGCAGCAGGAGAAGUACAUUUAUUAACCAUCGUGCUAGAUGUUCUGCCAGAGGCUGGAAAUAAUUUUAAAUGAAUGCAUAUUGUGACCAGUCCAGCCUCCAGGGACCUGUUGCUGCUCUCACUGGAUGUCUGCCUUCAGCGUGUCCAGCCGCUGGCCAUGGCAGGGAUGUCUGCAUGGGGCAGAUGGUGGCAGGCAGGCUCCUCUGAGUCUUCCCAGGCAGCUCAGGGGCAGCGAGGACCUCAUACAAACGCACAGUGGCCAGACACAGCCCAGAGAGAAAGUGCCAUUCAGAAAGCUCGCCAGCGAGAAGAGAGCUCCACGCUCAGCCUCAGAAGAAAGACGUUCAACGACUUACUGGGGAGAGAAAGAAAAGGAACGGGAGCUGAGAGGUAAGAUCAAACUGGAGGGUGUGCGGGCCCUCUGGGAUGCCUUGCAUGGAAGAGAGGUAGCCCCGACUUUGUGUCCUGAAGGGUGGCGCUCUAAGUAG